rnacentral:rRNA from 1 species
AAAACAUGUCUUAAAGAAAAAUAUUAAGUCUUUCCUGCACACUGAUUUACUUAAAGAGCUGCAGUACUUUAACUGUACAAAGGUAGCAUAAUAAUUUGCUUUUUAAUUAAAAGCUAGAAUGAAAGGUUUGACGUAAUAUUUUCUAUUACUUUUUAAAAAUAAAACUUAAAUUUUUGGUUAAAAUCCCAAAUUAAAUCUUAAAGACGAUAAGACCCUAUAAAAUUUAACUAAAUAAAUGUAAUCAGAUUAUUUUUAAUUCAGUUUUAUUGGGGUGAUUUUGAUAUUUAAUCUAUCAAUUAUCAAAUCGUUAAUAACCGAAUUAAUUUGACCCUAUAAAGUUUUAAAGAUCAAAUUACUUUAGGGAUAACAGCGUUAUAUUUCUUAAAGCUCGUAUUUAAAGAAAAGAUUGCGACCUCGAUGUUGAAUUAAGAAACCUUAAAAGAAGCAACUAUCUUUUUAAGAAAUCUGUUCGAUUUUUAAUUUCUUACAUGAUCUGA